AACGAACGCUGGCGGCAUGCCUAACACAUGCAAGUCGAACGAGACCUUCGGGUCUAGUGGCGCACGGGUGCGUAACGCGUGGGAACCUGCCCUUAGGUUCGGAAUCACUCCCCGAAAGGGGUGCUAAUACCGGAUAAUGUCUUCGGACCAAAGAUUUAUCGCCGUUGGAUGGGCCCGCGUUGGAUUCGCUAGUUGGUAGGGUAAAAGCCUACCAAGGCGACGAUCCAUAGCUGGUCUGAGAGGAUGAUCAGCCACACUGGGACUGAGACACGGCCCAGACUCCUACGGGAGGCAGCAGUGGGGAAUAUUGGACGAUGGGCGAAAGUCUGAUCCAGCAAUGCCGCGUGAGUGAUGAAGGCCGUAGGGUUGUAAAGCUCUUUUACCCGGGAUGAUAAUGACAGUACCGGGAGAAUAAGCUCCGGCUAACUCCGUG
rnacentral:rRNA from 1 species